GUUUUCUCCUGCUGGUCUCUGAAAUCCAUGAAGAUAAGAACUGAGUUGUAAUCAUCUUUUUAUCACCUAUUCCACAGACUGUUCAGGAGGCAUGGCUGGGGAGACCUCAGGAAACUUACAAUCAUGGUGGAAGGCGAAGAAGCAGCAAGCACUUCUCACCAUGGCGGAGCAGGAAAGAGCGUGCGAAUGAGGAAGGGCUACACGCUUUUAAACAACUAGAUCUCCUGAGAACUCGUUCACUAUCACCGGAACAGCAAGGGGGAAAUCUGCCCCCGUGACCCAGUCACCUCCUACCAGGCCUCUCUUCCAACACACUAGGAUUAUAAUUCGACAUGGAGAUUUGGGUGAGGACACAGAGCCAAACUAUAUCAGAUAAGACUGAUUUUUAUCCAUACGUAGGCUCAAGCGGUCCUUCUAUUUGCUGACUUGGCAAUUCCCAGGUUAGGUUUGUAAAUGGACUCCUCCGCGGUGCUUCGAAAUAGUUGGCUAUCUUACAAUGAUGUAUUAACAAGAGUCGUUUGCAAGCCUGCUUCUCCGCUGAGAGAGGGAAGGUUUACUGAACUAGAGCCCUGUGAGAAUUGUCACAAUGGCAGAAUUCCUGCAGCCUUGAAUCAAUGGGCAUUUGCUGCCUCUUCUUCCUGGUCUGCCAAAGAUGGCUGGUAGAGACCCAGGAAGGGGAAGAGACUUUUAGAGGAUCUCUGAGUGGAAUUGGGGGAGCUGUGGUUUGCAGAGCCAAGAGGAGAGAGAGGCUCAGUCAGUGCCUGAGCAUUGUAUGCUCGCCUGAACACUAAUUAGAACUAAUUCGAUGAUUGCCAGCGUGCUGGGAGUCUCUUGAAAGAUGAUCCGAUUUGGAGAAAUUCAGCCUGCUCAUUGGAAAUGAAGCUCAUCAGGAGACCUUUUUCUUACUGUCCUCUUGUGAAUGAAAGUGUAUUCCACUUCAAGAAGAUGUGAGGGAAGAAGAAAGCAACCACCUAGUACAGUAUCAUGUUUGGGAGAAAGAAGAAAGGGAAUAGGCUCAAGACUUCUUUUCUUUCCCAGAGUCCUGCAGGAAAGUCAGAAGUCCAACUGGUUGGAUUUACACUGUUUAGUUGGAGGCCACCAUGACCUGGAAGGUAGCUGGCAGCAUGAAAAUGCCUUGCAUGAGAGGACCUUUCCAAUGAGCUCAUUUCGGAAUGUCAAGGGUGGAACCCUAGAAAAGGAGGCAAGCAUAGCUUAGGCAAGUUUCUUUGUGUCUUGGGGAAAAAUCCUAUCUUUUCCAGGGUUUGUCUUUCUAUUUCAUAAUGAUUUUCAUCCCUCUUAUAAAGGUAAAACUUUGAAGGUGAAGAUCUGGGUGUGGGUCUGGGGAAGUGGUUUCAGGAGGUUGCUCAUUCCUCAUUUUAGUCUAGAAGGACAAAAUGAAUCAUGUAACUCAAGUGUGGAUCAGUUCUUCUAACAGAUAGGAUUAAUUAGUAGGAUUGGAAUCAAACUUUGGAUUUAAAAUCAGAGCAAUUAUUUUCUUUAAUCAUGACUAAUACACUGUGUUGAGCAUUGCAGACAGCUGAGUGUGGGGAUGGGGAGAAUAGGGUCUGGGGGCAGUGCUAGGGUAAUAGAGAAAGUAACAAUCCAUGAAAUUAUUCUUUCUCUUUUCUUUCUUCUCCUCUCUUACUUUGGAUGUUACAUGGAACAUUUACACAUUAUCCUUCCACCUUUGUCCCCAUCUUUGUUCUUCUCUCAGAUUUACUAUUAUAUUUAUUCUGUAUUCACCACUAGACAUUCUGGCAGUUUCCCCAGUAAUUCUCUUAUUUGGUUAAAGCCCAUUCUCUGAUGUAGGAAUUGGCAAACUUUUUCUGUUAAAAGGCCAGCUGGUAAAUAUUUUAGGCUUUAUGGACCAUACAGGCUCUGUUGUAACUACUCAGCUCUGCCAUUGCAGUAUAAACACACAUAUAAACAAUACAUAAAUGAAUAGGGUGGCUGUGUUCCACGAAAACAAAAACAGGUGGCAGCUGGAUUUAGCCCACAGGCCCUGGCUGGCUAGCCCCAAUCUAGCAGAUUCCUCAGAAAAGAUUCAAUAGUAUAGUAUUCUUUGAGUUUUUAAAUGUUCUGCUUUAGAUGGUUCUUGAAAGAUACCUGGGCUGGAUGCAGAUUCCUGGAUUCACACUUUUUCUUUUUGAAAAUUGUUUUUAGAUUUGGAGGUACAUGUGCAGAUUUGUUACAUGGGUAAUUGCAUACUUGUGAGGUUUAGACUUCUAGUGAACCCAUCACCCAAAUAAUGAACAUAGCACCCAACACAUAAUUUUUGAACCCCUCCCCUUCUUCCUAAUGUCUGUUGUUUCCAAUUUUAUGUCAUGUGUACCCAUAGUUUAGUUCCUACUUAUGAAUUAGAACACAUGGUAUUUGAUUUUAUGUUUCUGCAUUAAUUCACGUAGGAAAAUGGCUGCCAACUGUAUCUAUGUUGCUGCAAAGGAUAUGAUUUCCUUACUUUUAUGGCUGCAUAGUAUGCCAUGGUGUACAUAUAUUACAUUUUCUUGAUCCAAUUCACUGUUGAUGGACACUUAGGUGGAUUCCAUGACUUUGCUGUUGUUGGCUCACACUUCUUCUUUCUUGAGUCUUCAAGAACUUCUGUUCACUCAUGCUUUCUGUGCUGCUAUUGAGAAGUCUGAUGCCAAUCUGAUUUUUUCUUCUUAUAAAUAAAACUUUUUUUUGCUAUCCUGGAGGCCCAGAAAAUUCCUUUUAUUUUCUUUUGACUUUAAAGCCUAAUAAUUUCUGUGGCAUAUCCUUCAAAGUUAACCAUUCAGAGUAAAUUUUUCCCAAGGUACAUUGUGGGUCUUUUUAAUCUGAAUAUUUAGGUCUUAUUUUAUUUUAGAAUGUUUUCUUGGAUUAUAGUAUUAAAUAUUAGUUCUGUUAUAUUGUUUUAGUUUUCCAGAAAAUAUGUAUGUUGAAUCCUCUUUUAUUAUCUUUCAUAUCUCUUAUUUUCAGAUUUCUUUUGGUCUUUUUCAUUUUAUUUUUGUUCUCCUGACUGAUUCCAUUCCUCUUUUCAAUGUCUCUUUUUAUAGUUUCAGCACAAUCUGUCCUCCUUUUUACUUUAUAAUGUAGCUUUAUUUUCUAAUAUGAUUUUGUCUUUUCCAUCAAUUUCUUUCUUGAGUUCGUUCAUGUUUCAUAUAUCCGUUUUUAUUCCAUUUUGAAUUUCUAAUUAAUGAUAUUGUUUUCUAUUUGCCAUUGCUUGUUUAACUUACUUCAUGCUGGUAUGGUGUAUCAUAGUUUACCUUUAUUUUAUGUGGAAUUGAUAGAACAUUUAAAGCUGAAAAUUUUUGGUGCUCAUUUUUAAUUUCUUCUUAUAGUGAUUUCAUAUGGAUUUUGUGUUCUUUUCCUGUUCAUCCUAAAAGGUCUUAGAUUUUCUGAAAUAGCAAUAAUUAAUGUAUCUAUGAAAGGAUUUGGGGGAUUUGGGUAUCCCUACUGGGUUUCUUUGUUCAAGGGUUCCUUCAUCUGCAUAUAGUUUUUAAAUUAAUAAAAAACUUUCUUUUGAGGGGUAGGUGUUGUUCAACAGUGUCUUCUAAUUCUAUAAUAUACUUCUUUCUUUAUCCUCACUGCUAAAUCUCCAAGGAAUGGCUCUUCUUUCAGGUUGGCUGCCUCUGCUCUGGAUCUAGUGUUUUUUUCAAGACUGCCUUCUUUAUGCCUGUGUACUUUCAAACUGCUUCCCGUAGCUUCUCCAAUUGCUAGUCUACCCUGUCUUAGACAUUUUACUGGCAUUUCCCAUUUAAAGUGGGAUCCUCUCCUAAGCAUGAUGUUAUCUGUGUUUCUCCAUCGCUAGGAUUAUGACGCACUCUCUCUUCUGUGAAGUCUGUCUCCCCAUUCUCUGCUCUGGGAAGAGCCCCAAAGUGGUCUCUGUUAGUUGGAUCUUUAUUUUACUGCUUACAUAAAUAUUAAAGUUUUUAGCGUAGUGUUCUAAUUAU
ensembl:lncRNA